GUGAGGAAUCUUCCACAAUGGGCGAAAGCCUGAUGGAGCAACGCCGCGUGAAGGAUGAAGGUCUUCGGAUUGUAAACUUCUUUUAUGAGUGAAGAAUAUGACGGUAACUCAUGAAUAAGCACCGGCUAACUACGUGCCAGCAGCCGCGGUCAUACGUAGGGUGCAAGCAUUAUCCGGAGUGACUGGGCGUAAAGAGUUGCGUAGGCGGUUAUGUAAGCGAAUAGUGAAACCUGGUGGCUCAACCACACAGACUAUUAUUCGAACUGCAUAACUCGAGAAUGGUAGAGAUAACUGGAAUUUCUUGUGUAGGAGUGAAAUCCGUAGAUAUAAGAAGGAACACCAAUGGCGUAGGCAGGUUACUGGGCCAUUUCUGACGCUAAGGCACGAAAGCGUGGGGAGCGAACCGGAUUAGAUACCCCAGUAGUCC
rnacentral:rRNA from 1 species